rnacentral:rRNA from 1 species
ACUCCCCAGGCGGAGUGCUUAAUGCGUUAGCUGCAGCACUAAGGGGCGGAAACCCCCUAACACUUAGCACUCAUCGUUUACGGCGUGGACUACCAGGGUAUCUAAUCCUGUUUGAUCCCCACGCUUUCGCACAUCAGCGUCAGUUACAGACCAGAAAGUCGCCUUCGCCACUGGUGUUCCUCCAUAUCUCUGCGCAUUUCACCGCUACACAUGGAAUUCCACUUUCCUCUUCUGCACUCAAGUUUUCCAGUUUCCAAUGACCCUCCACGGUUGAGCCGUGGGCUUUCACAUCAGACUUAAAAAACCGCCUACGCGCGCUUUACGCCCAAUAAUUCCGGAUAACGCUUGCCACCUACGUAUUACCGCGGCUGCUGGCACGUAGUUAGCCGUGGCUUUCUGAUUAGGUACCGUCAAGAUGUGCACAGUUACUUACACAUAUGUUCUUCCCUAAUAACAGAGUUUUACGAUCCGAAGACCUUCAUCACUCACGCGGCGUUGCUCCGUCAGGCUUUCGCCCAUUGC